GAGUUCGUGACUGUGUCCAGAGCUACAGACAUUCCUAUUUGUCCGUGAGUUGCAUGACUAAUGCGUUUGGCCUGGUUAAGAAUGAAGUGGGCACAUGAGAACGUUUUCAAGGACAUCAGCCGGUGCUGCUUGGACAGAGGAGAGCCACUAGUGAAAAUACCCCAAGGCUUCUUCCUGGUGCAGGGCAGACCCUGGUUGCGUAUGCGUGUGCUCCUUGGCUCUGUCCAGCGACAUGGCCUGACAGCUGCAACAAUCCCACAGCCACUAGCCCAUCUCACGUCCGGAUCUUCACUUCUAAGUACUACUUUCAUGUAAAAGACACCAGGACUCCGCAAAGUAUUGGCCGAAUCCCGGGCUAGGUAGAGAAACCACAAGAUGGGACUACGACAUCUCGUGGUGCCCCCGAAUAAGGCAAUAUUCAAAGCAAACAAUAACAAUAACCAAGCCAGCAACAACGAAAACUAUGAAUAAAUGGAAAAAGCUCAUGAAGCCAGCUUGAACGGGCACCCGUGCUUUUAGGAAGGCGCCAGGUGCUUCUGACGCAAGUGUGGUCUGUGGACUUCACUUGAAAAACCGCACGUCCAGCCUCUGAGUGCCUCUUUUAUCUCCUGUCCCAUUUUUCUUCGUUUCCUUCCUUUGUGCUGCCUGGGCUACCGUGGUUCUAUGUUGGCUGACCUGCUUUCAGAUGAUUAGGAAAGUCAACAGUGACCUGUUUGCAGAGUAUUUUUAAUAGAGUGGAAUUCUGUGAAAAACAGAGUGCAGUGGACUGAAGAACGGACAGGGUCAGAAGCAGUUGGAGAGUUUGUUCUCGAAACGACAGGAGGGGAAGAAAAUAUGUGCAGACACACUGGGAAGGUUUGAGGUGGAACGGUGAGACCUUCCGGGACUAGGAGCUGGAAGGGCCCACAUGAUCGAGAAUGGAGACGGUGGUGGGAAUCCCGCCAUAAGAGACAACAUGGAUGGAUCUUGAAGGCGUUAUGCUAAGAGGAAAAAGUCCAAGAAAGACAAGUACUGUAUGAGCUCAUUUACAUGUGGAAUCUUAAAAAAAAAGAACCCCAACUCAUAGAAACAGAUUGGUGGUUGCCUGGGUGAAGGUCGGUGGGGAAGGAGAAUGGGCAAAAUGGACAAAAUCGGUCAAAAGGUACAAAUUUCAAUAGUAAUGUGGAGCACCUAGGUGGCCCAGUCGGUUAA